CCUGUCGUUGGGCAUCUACUCGCAGUGCUCAAUUUGAGAAAACAGAUAAAGCCUUCAUUACGCCAAGUAUAGAAUACUUUACUAGAAUAGAGGUUAAUGUUAGCCUGGAUCAAUAUAAAUCAAUCUAUAACAUUCUUUUCGAAGUUGUAAUCUUCCAAUGAGUAUUCACACAGGUCUUUCGAGACAUGUUUUUUUACAUUAUUAACACAUUUUCUAAGUAUGCGUAGAGGUGUCCAAAGAUGAAAUAUUCAUUUUCAUUGUUUCUCGUGCAGCUUCUUUCAGAAUUAUAAGAAUGAUACGUGUAGAUAUAUAUUAGGGUGGCCCUGAAUACCUUGCAGAUACACAAGCAAAUAUUCUUGGCAAAUUUGAGCUCCCAAUUUUAACGUGUCAAUGUUAGAGAGCUUAAAUUUUUGCAGGAAUUUUGUUGUAUUUGCAAGGUAUUUAGGGGGCUAACACUGAUUUCACAAAUUAUUAAAAUACGGACCACCUUGAUACAUGUAAUACAGUCAGUGUAAAAAGUAUUCGUACAGCAAUCCAUGGAAAACAAAUGGUUCCUGUACGAGUACUUAUUACACUGCAAUAAUCCUGUACGAAUACUUAUUGCAGUGUAAGAAGUAUUUGUACAGUAUUAUUACAGUGUAAGAAGUAUCCGUACAGUAUUAUUACAGUGUAAUAAGUAUUUGUACAGGAGCCAUUCGCUUUGAAUGGGUUGCUGUACGAAUACUUCUUACGUUCACUGUAUAUAUAACAUGUUUCUUAAUAUGUGGACACUUUUUGGAGAUUAAAGUCUUCAUAUUAAGAAACCUUCUGUAUACAUAUAAUAUUUGAGAUGUACGGUAUAUCAAGUCUGAAAACAACUUAUAAAUUAAUUUCUCGGUUGUCAUUCCCACAAAUUGAGGAUAUAUUUGAAACGAAAACGCGAUAUCUCAAAGAUUUCCUUGUGAAAUCACCUGGAAAAAUUGUGGAAUGUAUGUUGAAACACAGCUAAAAUAUUCUCAAAGUUACAGAAACAUUCUUUUCUAUAUAAGACAAUAUUUCAGGGAACGCUCAAUACUUGGACUCCCAACGUGGUUUCUCCCCUCAACAAAAGCAAAAAAAAAAGCAAUUAGCAUAAUUCCUUUUUCACAAAGAACGGGACAGUGCGUGUUGAAGGGCGGAUAGCUUCGAUCAUCUGAACGUGCAUACUAAUUGUAUGAUCUCAUUUCAAGCGUGCGGUCUAACCAACUCAGAGAUAAAUUACUGUAUCGGAAUGAUGAGAAUGAUGAUAUAUACAUAUAUAUAUAUAUAAUACAUAUAUAUAAUGGAGGAUGAUGAUGAUGAUGAUUGUGAAUGUGUUGUAGGAGAAGAACGAGAUUUAUUGUAGCGAAAUACGUAUAUAUGCUUAUGUUUAAUUUAAACUUUCGUGUGUUUAAUGUGUAAUUGAGAAUUAACCGAGGGUUUAGCGAGUACACGUUUUAUAGAGUAUUUCGAAUUUGAGAGCUUUCACGAUGUCGCGUCGAUCUGGAUUCGAGUCACGUUGGAAAAUCGCCCCAGAAACUUGUUAAUUUUGCGUUGUGAUCGGUUGUACACGUUUCGAUCCAGUCGAUAACUAUUCUAGACCGUUUGGAACGUUUACAAACUGUGAUCUGUCUGAUGAAACAGUUAGAAACGAGAUAGGAGAGACUGACCUCGAACUUUGAUUCUUUUCAAUUAACUCAAUCGAUUGCAUAAUAUAUAUAUAUAUAUAUAUUUAUAUAUACACGUAUAUUUAAUUAACCAGGGUUUGAGUCUACGUAGAAUAAACAUUAUUCUAACUUAACGAAAGCAGACACUUUGAACGUUUGGUUAGUUUCCACGAGAAGGCAACGAGCCUGGAUUUUCGAAAGUCCAGGUUUCGUUUCAGCGUGCAUUUACCUCUCCGGAUAAAAUUGCUUUCUACGCUUCGCUUGUAUCCUUAUUUUCUCCUGUAAUAACGUCUCGUAAUCUCGUACCUUGCAACGAUUACAAGCGAAACGAAUCUCGUUUAAACGUAUCUUUAUAUCUUUAUUUUAACAUUGAAUGGAUGGAAAAUUGUCGCAAUCGCGCGCAGAUCGAUCGCAGCUACCCGAGAUUUAAAAUGCCAUUAAUCGUAGUGAAUUUUAAUAUAAAUAUAAAAAUUAAAAAGAAUAUGUUACUAGCCGCGUGCACGCGAUUUCUGUGAGAACUAUGUGUUACUAUUUGGUACGAUGGAUGAUGCGUCGAAAGAAUCGAACUGGUUGCGUGUGAAAGGUGGCAUUUCAAAUCGACUUUGAUUGUUUCAUUUCUAUCCGAGUGCUCGGAGAAUCUGAAAGUGUGUUUUCACAAGUUUUUAGCGACGUGUACCCCUGUCGAGAGCCGAGUAUUUAUUUUCCAACGACCCAUUGUCGAACUGCGGAUUUUACGCACUCGUAACAACCGUUAAUUAUACAAGUUAAUUAUACGAGAAAAAUCUGCGAAAGUUAUAGAGAAGAUAGAAUACACAUUGUACUGCGUGAAAUCCACGGUUCAGUCGAACCACUUCAUUCAUGAUGCACGAUUGUAGUCAAUAACUACCGUAUAGUCGAGAGGAAGUACAGAGUAACCGUAUAACUCAAUAAAAUACAGCGUUAGCCAUGCGUUGAAAUAAUUCUAGGUCGACUGUCUCGGACGAGACAAAAUUAUAAAUGAAUUCUUAAGGAAGGAUACGGUAUGUGCUGUCGUACACGCGCGUUACAUUAUAGUAAAAAAAGUCACACGGAUUAGAUUUCCUGCGUGCAUACAAUUUUACCAGUUAUUAUCGCUAGCGUGAAAAGCUGUUCGACGUGUACUUAAAAUGUUUGAUCAAACUCUGCGACCGCGUGCGCUUCUGAUUGCGAGCACGAGGAGAGGUAUGUGAAAGUAACGUGUGUGCGUGCGUGGCUGUAUGCGUGUAAUUUUGAUCACCGAGACGCCUCGCAAUUAGCGGGACGCGCGGUGCAACGGUUUGACGUCAAAUAUUUUAGAAACAUCCAGCGGGAGUGUAAUAUUUCUUACGUCGGAUUAGGGAAAUCAUAAUAUUGUAAUCUACGUAGAUUGGAUUGUUUUAUCACGCCUCUCUUUCUCUCUCUCUCUCUCUCUCUCUCUCUCUCUCUCUCUCUCUCUCUCUGUCUGUCUGUCUGUCUGUCUGUCUGUCUCUCUGUCUCUCUGUCUCUCUGUCUCUGUCUAUGUGUGUGUGUAUGGCGGUUGAAUGUAUUUGUUAAUGGUCGUCUCAGAACUACAGGCAUGAAAGUUCAAUCGAGAAGUGAUUAUUGAUGUUCUAAGAACAUGCAAUUACGUAUCCUGAUGUAAAAGAGAUAAAAAAAAAAAAAAACGAAACAUACGUGUUGAUAUGAGUGAAUAUAACAAUUGUGAGGUCGAGCGGUAAUUAAUUGCGAAAAAUAAUAUUUUAUGGAUGGGACACACAGUCGUUUAUUGAAUGCCUGAUAUAUAUUACACUGUACGCAUAAACAUAUAUGCAUGCACGUGUAUGGAUGCAUGUAUGCAUGCAUGUAUAUAUGUAUAUAUAUAUAGGGUACAUGCAUAUAUGCAUAUGUGUAUACGUUUAUCGAUCCAGAAUGUUUAUACAUAAUGUAAAGAGAACAUUGAUGGGAAAGUGCGUCGAGUUUAUUUAUUGACGUCCUGCUGUAAAUGAUAACCGAUAUACAAAGACUGUAGUUUAAGACAACUUUUAACAGACAUUAGAACCGUUUCUAGCUCAUUAUUAUAGCCGGCUGAUCUAUUUCAAAUCGUUCGCGACCAUUUAACACUAACGUCGUUAGCCUCCCCGUAGAUGUCCAGUGGGUUCAUUUUAUACGAUCGUUUAUAUGGAAUCGAGCCUCAUCUCGUAAAACUUCUCGACGAAAAUAUUCUCCACCGAAUGAUAGCUAGGAAUCGGUUAGGAAUAACCUGUUGCUCAAAAGAUGCCUUUGCGAUACGAUUUGAAAAGGAUCCACGAUGAUGUGUAAAUAUACGUAAGGAGCAUUAAUGUCGUUCGUGAAACGUUACGAGUUUGGUUUGUAGACAGUUGUAAAUUAUAACGAUGAUUCUGUUUCAAAAGAGAUACCGAGUGAUCGCGACCGAUAAACAUCAAGUUCUGUCAUGUGAGAAUGUUAUUUUGAUAGGUGGUAGAGAUUGAUUCUUAUUACAUAAGUUCAUUACAGAAUGAUUAAAAACUGAUACACUGGCAAUAGUUUAUUUACACUCUUUGAACUCCUUCAUUGGACCGUUCGUUAUUUACCUACAUAUUCGACCAAUAUCGAUCUUCAAAAGCUUUACAGAUUGUAAGAUUUGUUAAGUAUUGUAAGUAUUGUAUUUGUAAGGUUUAUCGGUCCAAGGUAUUUUCAAAUUCUGUACCAUCAAGAUCUUACAAAUAUGGUCUAAAGGUGGUCCGAGGUAUUUAUUCUCCAUAUUUCAAACUAUCUAAUCGUUGGAAACCUUGGAGAUAAUUAUUGCAAUUUGUAUGAAAAGUAUUUCUAUUGGAAAGUAACAGGCGAUAUUGGUUGAAACAUUUCAUGUACUCCUACUUUGUGUACUUAUUUUCUUGUUCGCUGGAUACGUUCUUCACGUAAAGUGAACAAUAUUCAAUCAAAUUUGUUUUACGAGGCAAAGGACUAUUAUUUACUUCUCACACAAUCUAAAGUCUACCUGACCUGAUACUUGCCGCAUUUAAAUGCUAACACGUGCUAUUAUCCGUUACUGGAUGAUUCAGAAAACUGGGACUGCUUGGAUGACAUUGAUACCAAUGAACAUUUCAAGAACCAAAGACCCAUUCGCUAUUCAAUGUUGCCAUUUUGCUUGCAGUUUUCAAGAUUUCAAGUAACUUGACACUAAUUGAUGCAGUAAAUACAGUAAAUUACUACAGCAUUCUAUCAUUACAGAACUGCUAUACAAAACUAGGGUUAAAUAAUGUAAAUUAACAAGUAUCUAUUUACUUGAUAAAAUAGGGACUAUUUAUUUCCAUCGCACAAGUCAAGUUAUUUAAUAUUCGGUAGUCUUCAAAGUUUUAACUUUGUAGAAAUUUCAAUUACUUUUACACAUGUAGAAGAAAUAGGACUCUGAGACUCUGUAAAAAUACUGUAGAAGUUAUAGUGAUAUCAGGAUGUGGGGAUGGUCCAGUCAGUUGAAGCAUCGACUGGUAAUCCAAAGAACCCCAGUUUUAGUCCUUGUGGACCUCCUUUCUACUGUAAGCUUUCCUAGAGGUUUCCAUAUUAUAUUCAAGACACGUCCAAGUGUAAAAUCCUUGUGUUGGAGUAUUCUUCCAUCUCAGUCUUGAACUUAAAAAGAACAUUUCAACCGAUUACCCUGAGGAAAUCUUGAAAAGCAUAGCAGAAAAUGCAACGUUGAGUAGCAUCGAUGGGUUCAUGUUUCCUGGUCCCCCAUAAAACUAGGAAUUAAGAAUUCAAGGUACAGUCGACGAUAUAAUUAAUGAAUCCCACACUUUGCUACUCGGAGGGGAAUGGGGGGAUGUGUGAGUGGUUCCAUGGGACUGAAUCACACCGAGUGGAAGCAUAUUUGUGAGUUUACACAAUACAGAUAUUACCGUACCGUCCAUUCGAUGAAUGAAGGUGGUAUAUGAUGCUUAUGAUGAUGAUGAUGAUGAUGAUGAUGAUGAUGAUGAUGAUGAUGGUGGUGGUGGUGGCAGUGAUAGAGAUGAUUAUAUGAUAUAUGAGGAUGUUGAGGAUGAGGUUGAGGAUGAGAUUGAAUAUGAUGAUGGUGGUGAUGAUGAGGAUGAGGAUGAGGAUGAGGAUGAUGACUGGAAGUAGACGAGAGGCAUGGAAGCGUCCGCUGAACUUCUAAACAGCUUAGUUGAAUGAACUGCAGUCUAUAUAUUCGAGAGGACCGAUGUUUAGCAACUUGUUGCAACUAACGAACGAUAUCCAGUGAAAGAAACGUGGUUGGAAACGUGAAAAUAACAGACCAGACGCGCUGGAAUAACGGCAGAAUCAUUAAAUGUAAUAAGAUAUCCAGCUGAUGCUCAUCCUCGCAAUAGGAACAGAUACUUUGAUCGACUGUUGAAGAUGAGAGUACAUUCUGAAACUUUUGAUUGUUCAUCUAUUGGUAACACGUAUAGAAUUACCAUGGUACUGGACUUUUGCUUGGUAACUUAUGUUUUAAGAAGUAGUUUUAAGAAGCACAUUCAGCGUAAUAGGUAUCCGUACAAGAAUUCAAAAUAAAACUUCAUAUAUUUAUUUUAUUAACAAGUUUCAGGGGAAGAAAUAAUUAACCAACAUUUCUACUAUUCCUAGAAUUUUUAGAGCAGAUUUAGCGUAAAUUAAAGUUUAUUACUUUUAAUGUUAUCCUCUUAUUUCUUUCCUUAUUAGUAGCCUGUGGAUCUUUAUGCAAUUAUAGGAAAUUUGAAUGCGCAAACCUACACGAUGCAAACAAUAUGCAAGAAUAUAAAAAAGAUUAAAAGCAAAGUUCAAUUAUAAUAUUUACAGAAUAAAAUAAAUUAUGCAUAAAGAUCCGCAGUCUACUUAUUAGUUUUAUUUUAACUUGCUGUACGAAUACUUCUCACACCGGCUGUGUAAAUUCGAGAUAAACAUUCUUGCAUCGUAAAGUACAAGCACAGUAAUGCAUUUUUGAAAAAAAGAUAAGAAAAUAAUUGUAAACACCAGCGAAUCUUCCAAAACAAAAACUCGAGUUAUCUAAUCAAAGGUCCAGUGGUCCAUAAUUCUAGAUUAUGCCAACUUCUUUUCUCUUGUUACACCAGAGUUUGAUAAAUAUUUUCUUUUUAAAUACAACACACGAAUACCAGUCUCAAUUUUUAUUUAUGUUUAUGUUUACUGUGUAUAUAUGUAGUACUCUACUAAACUCUACUAAAAAUAAGGAGUCAAGCGAGAAUCGUGGCUUCGAAUCUCCUACAUUAUAUAUAUUUUAAUUUUAUAUAAGCGAUGUAUUUUUCUUGGUACACGUAACUACGUGCAUCGAGCGCAAAUGCAUGCGAUUAUGUCGUAAAAUUGGUACAGAGAUAAAAAACUGUCGUAAAAACCAAUAAAUGAUUUUAAUUUGAUGAUUAAUGGUAUCAUGUUAAUCAGACUCAGGCCAUUUAAAUAUUAAUAUUUGUACGUGCUGCAGUCAUUGGUAAUAAGAUUUACAGGCUAAUCUGUAAAGUACACAGCCAGUUGAUUUAUGAUGUAACGUGUUGUAUCAUUAAUUCCAAUUACUAUUUUUCAAACAGUUCAAAAGAUUUCAAAAAAGAGUUUGAAAUACAAACAUUAACCCAGACUUAAUCAGUAAUAUACUCAGCCAGUUUAUUCAUAAUGUCAUAAUGUAUUGCACCGUUAAUUGCAAUUUUACAGUGGUGUACAAAAGAAUCUGUACGGUUAUGUAAUUAACAUCAUAGUGGAUAAAUACAAAGAUAUAUCAGUGUAUGUAUCAAUAAAGGUGCUGGUGCAUGGAAAAAGCCAGCUUUAUUUUAUUUUGGCAUAUCUGAAACCUAUUCACAAUCCCUGAUUUAAUCGGUUCUCGGCGAGUCUUAUCAGAGUGGCCAAGAAAGAGAUAAGCAGAACAUACCUUCAUACUAAUAGGAAAAAUAAGGCUAAAUAGUGUAUGGAAUUUAAAAUAAAAUGUGAAAGUAUGAAUCUGCUAACGUACAAAUGAAUCUUUAAAGAAAUAUUAACAAAAUUGUUUCGAUAUUCUGCUAUCGAAAUGAUGUUUUCAUUCUAAAGUAUUGUGUUCUUCCCACAGAGAGAUAAGUAUUCCAUACUACACACUGUGAGAAUUGAUGUAUAGUUAAAUCUAAAAUAAUAAUA